CACACGUCAGUGAAGAGCUCACAGUAAACCGGUUGUGGGAUGUGAGCUCUGAUGGAAAUCUGUGUG
rfam:Xiphophorus maculatus strain JP 163 A Contig76.57, whole genome shotgun sequence.